rnacentral:rRNA from 1 species
GACGAACGCUGGCGGCGUGCUUAACACAUGCAAGUCGAACGGAAAGGCCCUGCUUGCAGGGUACUCGAGUGGCGAACGGGUGAGUAACACGUGGGUGAUCUGCCCUGCACUUCGGGAUAAGCCUGGGAAACUGGGUCUAAUACCGGAUAGGAGCAAUUUUUAGUGUGAUGGUUGGAAAGUUUUUUCGGUGUAGGAUGAGCUCGCGGCCUAUCAGCUUGUUGGUGGGGUAAUGGCCUACCAAGGCGGCGACGGGUAGCCGGCCUGAGAGGGUGGACGGCCACAUUGGGACUGGGAUACGGCCCAGACUCCUACGGGAGGCAGCAGGGGGGAAUAUUGCACAAUGGGCGCAAGCCUGAUGCAGCGACGCCGCGUGGGGGAUGACGGCCUUCGGGUUGUAAACUCCUUUCGCUAGGGACGAAGCUUUUUGUGACGGUACCUAGAUAAGAAGCACCGGCUAACUACGUG